CGGGGAGUAGCGCAGCUGGUUAGCGCGCAGCGUUCGGGACGCUGAGGUCGGAGGUUCGAGUCCUCUCUCCCCGACCA
rnacentral:tRNA from 1 species